AUGCAGUCGACGGUGAAAGCAGAGCUUGCUCUGUGGAUCAGUGGCGAACGGGUGAGUAACACGUGAGCAAUCUGCCCCUGACUCUGGGAUAAGCGCUGGAAACGGCGUCUAAUACCGGAUACGAGCUGCGACCGCAUGGUCGGCAGUUGGAAAGAAUUUCGGUCAGGGAUGAGCUCGCGGCCUAUCAGCUUGUUGGUGAGGUAAUGGCUCACCAAGGCGUCGACGGGUAGCCGGCCUGAGAGGGUGACCGGCCACACUGGGACUGAGACACGGCCCAGACUCCUACGGGAGGCAGCAGUGGGGAAUAUUGCACAAUGGGCGAAAGCCUGAUGCAGCAACGCCGCGUGAGGGAUGACGGCCUUCGGGUUGUAAACCUCUUUUAGCAGGGAAGAAGCGAAAGUGACGGUACCUGCAGAAAAAGCGCCGGCUAACUACGUGCCAGCAGCCGCGGUAAUACGUACGGCGCAAGCGUUAUCCGGAAUUAUUGGGCGUAAAGAGCUCG
rnacentral:rRNA from 1 species